ACACGUAGGGGGCGAGCGUUGUUCGGAAUCAUUGGGCGGAAAGGGCGCGCAGGCGGCCGCGUAAGUCUGGUGUAAAAUGGUUGUGCUCAACACAAUCAUGCGCUGGAAACUGCGGGGCUUGAGUCAACGAGGGGAUGCCGGAAUUCCAGGGGUAGGGGUGAAAUCUGUAGAUAUCUGGAAGAACACCAGUGGCGAAGGCAGGCAUCUGGCGACUGACUGACGCUGAGGCGCGAAGGUGCGGGGAGCAAACAGGUUUAGAUACCCUGGUAGUCCGCACAGUAAACGAUGUGCACCAGGUGGCGGGCAGCAGUGCUCGGUACCGAAGCAAACGCAUUAAGUGCACCGCCUGGGGAGUAUGCCCGCAAGGGUGAAACUCAAAUGAAUUGGCGGGG
rnacentral:rRNA from 1 species